rnacentral:misc_RNA from 1 species
GCGAAAGAGUCGAAAGAGAUCUGGAAUCGGAGAGGGGAGAGAUGAAUCGAUACUUGUCUUUUCAGACGCCAGCCACAUCGGGUGUGGAGCUUGGUCAGCAGAGUGUGGCGGACUCAAAUUCCAACACAUCUGGUCAGAAGAAGAGCAAGGUAAAAGUUCCACUUGGAGAGAACUUAAAGGUGUUGCACUGGCAGUACAUGCAUUUGGAAAGAGUAUAAGAAACCAGACAGUAAAGAUUUUCACCGAUAAUACUGGAGUAGAGAAGAUCAUAAAGAAGGGUAGUAUGAAAAAUGAUCUCCAUCAGCUGAGUAUUGACUUAGCAGAUUACUGUAAUCAAAUGAAUAUAGUAAUGGAG